rnacentral:rRNA from 1 species
GUGGGGAAUUUUGGACAAUGGGCGAAAGCCUGAUCCAGCAAUGCCGCGUGUGUGAAGAAGGCCUUCGGGUUGUAAAGCACUUUUGGCAGGGAAGAAACAGUGCGUGCUAAUACCAUGCGCGAAUGACGGUACCUGCAGAAUAAGCACCGGCUAACUACGUGCCAGCAGCCGCGGUAAUACGUAGGGUGCAAGCGUUAAUCGGAAUUACUGGGCGUAACGCGUGCGCAGGCGGCUUUGUAAGACGGAUGUGAAAGCCCCGGGCUCAACCUGGGAAGUGCAUUCGUGACUGCAAGGCUAGAGUGUGUCAGAGGGAGGUGGAAUUCCGCGUGUAGCAGUGAAAUGCGUAGAGAUGCGGAGGAACACCGAUGGCGAAGGCAGCCUCCUGGGAUAACACUGACGCUCAGGCACGAAAGCGUGGGGAGCAAACAGGAUUAGAAACCCUUGUAGUCC